AGAAUCAACGCUGGCGGCGUGCCUAACACAUGCAAGUCGCACGAGAAAGGGGAGCAAUCCCUGAGUACAGUGGCGCACGGGUGAGUAACACGUGAAUAAUCUACCUCCGAGUGGGGAAUAACUGAGAGAAAUCUUAGCUAAUACCGCAUAACACUUACGAGUCAAAGCAGCAAUGCGCUUGGAGAGGAGUUCGCGGCCGAUUAGUUAGUUGGCGGGGUAAUGGCCCACCAAGACGAUGAUCGGUAUCCGGCCUGAGAGGGCGCACGGACACACUGGAACUGAAACACGGUCCAGACUCCUACGGGAGGCAGCAGUGGGGAAUUUUGCGCAAUGGGGGAAACCCUGACGCAGCAACGCCGCGUGGAGGAUGAAAUAUCUUGGUAUGUAAACUCCUUUCGAUGGGGAAGAUUAUGACGGUACCCAUAGAAGAAGCCCCGGCUAACUUCGUGCCAGCAGCCGC
rnacentral:rRNA from 1 species